GACGAACGCUGGCGGCGUGCUUAACACAUGCAAGUCGAACGGAAAGGCCCUGCUUUUGUGGGGUGCUCGAGUGGCGAACGGGGGUGUAACACGUGAGUAACCUGCCCUUGACUUUGGGAUAACUUCAGGAAACUGGGGCUACUACCGGAUAGGAGCUCCUGCUGCAUGGUGGUGGUUGGAGAGUUUCGGCGGUUGGGGAUGGACUCGCGGCUUAUCAGCUUGUUGGUGGGGUAGUGGCUUACCAAGGCUUUGACGGGUAGCCGGCCUGAGAGGGUGACCGGCCACAAUGGGACUGCGAUACGGCGCAGACUCCUACGGGAGGCAGCAGUGGAGAACAUUGCACAAUGGGCGGAAGUCUGAUGCAGCAACGCCGCGUGCGGGAUGACGGCCUUCGGGUGGUAAACCGCUUUCGCCGGUGACGAAGCGUGAGUGACGGUAAUGGGUAAAGAAGCACCGGCUAACUACGUG
rnacentral:rRNA from 1 species